AAUUUGAAGACAGGUUCUAACUGCAAAGUCCACACAAGUAAUUGCCCUACGUUAUUGACUUUCAGAAUUUAGGAAUAUCAUCUGUCUAAUCUGGAGAAACACGUCUUAUAGUUGGCCACUCUCAUGGUUCUUGUCGCCUUCUGUUGUUUGGAGGAAUCUAAGGAUUUAUGGAAGUUAUGUUGGUAUAUCGGAAGCUGGUUGGUAUAUAUUUGAUCUCCCUCUUCAAGUGGACUGAAUAUUAUGAGAAACUGGGAUAAAAUAUUUUUCAUUUUUUCAAAUAUCUUCAUCUCUCAGCAAAGGACCUAAAUAAAUGAUCAAC
rnacentral:lncRNA from 10 species